CAGUUCCAGGAUCUGCGGAUGGAUUUUCAAGAUUCACAUUAGCAUAUGGUAAUAGAUGUUGCCUAUGAUAUGUCAGUAUCCUGUUUUCUCCUGACUCAGGCUUGAUCUUAUAUACAGUUCCAGGAUCUGCGGAUGGAUUUUCAAGAUUCACAUUAGCAUAUGAGAGAUCGCUGAUUUGGAAGGAAUAUUGUAUCACCGGAGUGUUCGUUUGGAAGACUGAGAGACAGCACCUUUGAGAUGACAAUAAAACAAGAAGAACAACAAGACUAGAGAACUAAUUAUCGUAACAAGUUUCUCUCCCCCCUCAAACUGUUUUUUUGUACCCCCAUUACAAAUUUCUCUUUCUCCUCCUGUAAGAUGGACUCGCCCCAAGAGACUGUGAUCCGGAUUUUCCUGUUGACCAUGAUGUUGACCAGAGCAGUCUGUUUCGGUGAGAGUACCAGUGAGGUCGAGAAAGGAUCCAGAAUGGAUUUCUGAUGACAGAGACGGAGGCGUAAAUUUCCAAUAGAAACACAAUCACCGAGCAAAGGCGAGUACCGGAAAACGAUCUAGCAGCCAUGUUAUUUGUAGACAUUGUGAAGGAUUGUUAGCUGAAGAGAACUGCAUCUGUAGGCAUUGUGACAAUAUAGUUGAGGAUGGGUGCAUAAAGAAAUGUCAGUCCAGUUUUAAUGUCCACAUGGAACGGCAUCCAUUGAGUGACUAUCACUCCUUAGUGGGUAAAGUGUUAAAUCAGACAGACUGUUGGGUAUGCUCUCAAGUACCUCAAGGCCAUAGCAAAUCAGCACUAGUACCAUUCCCUUUAACGGUAGGAGAGGUACUUGAGCUAAGUGGUGGGAGGCCGGUGGACAAGAGGUUUAAUAUCUCUAGUCCUCCUAGUUUGAAGCUCCACCAAUAUUAUGUGGAUAGGUCCUUAGUGUGCUUUAACAUUUCCAAUCCCCGAAAGCCGGGAAAUUGGGAAGUGUCAUGGAGUAAUCAAACCAUGACAUUCUUACAUAGAGCCGACAGAUUGCCCAUAGACACAGAACUUAUACGCCAGAUAGCCGACCAUAGGAAAUUCUUUCGGUAUAGGUACACCUUAGGAAGUAGGAUCAUGCAAGUUGGAGAAGUAUCACCAGGAUACUGUGCACAGAUCGUACAAACUGAUACGUGUACUAAACAGAUGGAAGAAUUAGGGCUAGGAGAGUUCACAUGGAAAAUUUGUAAUAUGGUUAUGUCAUACUCAGUCCCAUAUGUUCUCCCCGAUGAUGCAUAUUUCAUAUGCGGGAGGAAGGCGUAUAAGUGGCUUGCCCCAAACUCAGAAGGGUUAUGUUAUAUUGGAAAAGUACUGCCUGAGGUAAUGACUGUAUCCCACACUAAAAUGAAAGAUAUUCACCGUGGUGCCCAAGCUCCUUACACUCACACUCAUUACGAGCACAUCGUUAAACGGCACUUGAUAGAAAGAACAGAGCAUUCAGCCUCUGACCUGAUCCAUGAAUCCACCGGGAUUCAAUUCCUACUCGCGUUAGAUAUCACUCGUACCGCUAGAGGAGUGAUAAAUUAUAAAUAUAUAUCUGCGCUUGCAAAUUUAUUAGACAAUAUCACCGAAAUGUAUGACGACACAUUCAGGUACACUGGGAAAGAGUUACAAGCCUACAAAACGGAACUGGUUCAGCAUAGGAUGAUUCUCAAUUACCUCACAGCUGUGACAGGCGGGUAUUGUGUAACCCUGGCAACUCAAUAUGGAAUCAAGUGCUGCACGUAUAUUACAAACAGCACGGAGGACCCAGCCGAGGUCAUAGACCAAAAGAUGGAUGACAUUUUACAAUUAAAAUGGGAGUUCCGAAGGAAACACAAUCUCACCCUGGCUGCUGUGGGUAAUGAGCUGACCAGUUGGGUGUCAUGGUUGAACCUACGAAAUUGGUUCUCUGGUUUAGGAGAAUGGGCCCAAGGUAUUAUCAUGGAUGUAGGGAAAUUUCUUUUGUGUAUUCUGGGUGUCAUCAUAUUGGUCGGUCUGAUAUUUAGAUGCGUUCGGGUUUUAACGAAGUGUAAACGUAGUGCCCGAGUGAUGAGUUUAAGAAGCGAGGACACUGUAUUAACAACGAUUAAUUUGAUGUAUGACCCAACAAUAGAGACAAUGUUGUGAUGAAAAUGUGAUUCCACGGUCCGUUUCUUUCACCCGUUUCUCCUUUGUUUUCCUCCAAGGUACAAAGACACCCGCUUGGAAGAAGAAUUUGACAACCUUUUACACAGACCAUUGAUGGACAAUGCCAUAGACCCCCAUUUUCCCUAGUGACUCUAAAAUUUUACGAUAGCCCAACACUUCAAAGAUUGUAAGUCUAUGGACAUUGAGAAAGCUUUUUGCUCAAGCAAUUAUAGCAAAAGCAUCGGGAGACUACAGUCAACAUGUACAUCGAGACAAGACACAAGACAAGACCUCAAUCAACAAAUGUAUAUUAAACUCACAUAGUUUAUGACUGCAUUUACCAUAAUUGCUUCUUAUCUUCAUUUCUACAACCUUCAGGUAAUGACACACAUAGUCGAUAGGGAAUAUAGGCACAGAUAUCAGCACUCACAUAUCCCCCAUUCAUGUAUCAUCAACUAAAAUGUGCUCCCCCAUUUUGUUGCAACCAAAAGCCGAAAAGAGCUCGGUAAAGUUUGACAGCCCAUCCACAGACCCGUACCACGGGAUAAGAAGGAAUUCAAAUGUAUACUUCGCAAUACCUCAAAGCUUGAUUUAAAACAUGUACGGCACGAUGAUACAUGACCCCUCAAACAUGGACUCAUACAUACAUGCUUCUACUAUCUCACUAGGUCAUACCUUUUUCCCACCUUCUUCUGUUCUCCCUUACCCAAUCAUAGAAAUGUAUUUUUACAUGACAUAUAUUUUUCUCUUUUUGAAUUGUUUUUAGGAAAUGGCAGUUAUUGGUGACUGCCAAAGGGUGGACUGUCAAAGUCAGAAAAUAUCACGCUGCACGUUGCCAUAUAUGCACCUCAUGCACGUGCCUGCUGCACGUGCACAUUCUCUCCCGUGCGUGCGGAUACACGCAGCCGCGUGAUGGCGCCUCGGCCAUGCGCUCGAGCGCGUGGUAUGUGCAUUUACGGUAGACUUUGUGUGCGUCUAGCGGGCGACUCAAUCGUUUAAUAAUAGAACCAAAUAGCUCGUUUUAUAGAUAAUGUUCCCCUUAAUGAUAACUGUAAGUUUGGUUAAUGUGACUUGUUCACGGACUUGGGAAUCCCUCUUUACGUGGUACAAAGGGUCUGAUUAAGGUUGAACAGCUGUGUCUGGUACCUAACUGAAGAGUAUUUUAAUAGCAAUAAUCCGGUGUUGGUUAGGUAAAGAUUAAACGCUCCUGCGUGUAGUUAUGGCCAUUAGUAGUUUCUGGACAUAUUUUAUAUUUGCAGUUCAUUAUCCAUGCGGCGGGAAUCCGGAGAUUCCCACCCACCUGAGCUGUUUAAAAUAGUCACAGCCCACCUGUUCAAACUAACCUAUGACCUUUUGAUAUGAUGCGAGGAGACAUUCCUGUGUCCAAUGAACAAUGAGAUUGUAGGUCCCUUUGUAGUAUACUGUACCCAGUGUAUAUAAGAUCAGCCAGCCUGAACAGCUCUCCCACUCUCUCCACAAACGGUUUUCAUAUUGACAAACUCGGGGCUGGUACCAGGCUGCGCUGCGAUCGUUCCCAGUGUGUGUGUAAGUAAUUCUCUGUAAUCAUCUCGCUCUUUGUUUGUAUUGGCCACAUUCUCUCUCUCUCUCUGUUUAGUUUAAGAUUGUAACGUUAUUGUAUAUUUAUGUCUAGAUAUUCUGUUAGAAUUAUAUGUUAGUAUGUAGUGUAUGACUUGUAACUGUUUUACCCCUUUUCGAUAUAACUA